CCCGCAGCGGGGGCCGGGGGGGUUAUCGAGGAGGGAAUCCAAGAGGAGGCCCUAAGUAUGAUUGAACGAAUGCAGCUAAAAGGAACAUAACCAAGAUCAGGAGUCACAAGUCAUAACUCAUUAAGUCAUAAGUGAACUCCCUUGCAUAAAACCAUCAGAAUAAUCAAACAGGUAUUUUCAUGGUUUACUGGACAGAAGUACAAAAAUUUCAUAGUUAACAACAUAACACGCACAAUAGCAGUGUCAUGUUAAUUCUUUAUGAACAAAAGCCCAGUGAGUCCUGUGUGAAACUUCUAUUCCAAAAAAAGCAGAUUUCAUCAGUAUGCAGGAUAAUCUUCUAAUCAUUGAGAGAGGGGUGGGGAAGUGAGGAAGAAAAGAGAAAAGGUGGAUGAAUUUUGAUGGACUUCGGUCAUCCACCGCUAACCCACAGGCCCAGACAAAGAAGAAUUAAUUUGAAGAAAUAACAAGAUCAUCAUCACCAUCAUCAUCAUUGUUGUUGUUGAAAGGAAAGAAAAAAAAGAUUUGAAGAAAAGGAAGCAAUUUCCUGAUAUUUACAUCUAUAAAUUGAUCUGGACUAUUUUU
rnacentral:misc_RNA from 1 species